GACGGAGGGUGCUAGCGUUGUUCGGAAUCACUGGGCGUAAAGGGUGCGUAGGCGGGUCUUUAAGUCAGGGGUGAAAUCCUGGAGCUCAACUCCAGAACUGCCUUUGAUACUGAGGAUCUUGAGUACGGGAGAGGUGAGUGGAACUGCGAGUGUAGAGGUGAAAUUCGUAGAUAUUCGCAAGAACACCAGUGGCGAAGGCGGCUCACUGGCCCGUUACUGACGCUGAGGCACGAAAGCGUGGGGAGCAAACAGG
rnacentral:rRNA from 1 species